rnacentral:tRNA from 1 species
AGAUUCUCGCCUCUCUCCAGGAUCUUCUGAAAAACUGCCGUUACCAAACUUUA